rnacentral:tRNA from 1 species
GCCGAGAUAGUUCAGUCGGUAGAUCAUCAGACUUUUAAUCUAGAGGGUCCAGGGUUCAAGUCCCUGUUCGGGCG